ACUGUGAAAAGAGGGGACUAACUGGGUAAGUUUCAUUUGGAAAUCUGUAUUUCUUCACUGACCUUUUGGAGAAAUGUUAUUUUGCAAUGGGUAAAUCAGGGAGAAGCAAUGAAAGUAAUGCUAGCAUGAACAGCGAUCUGCAAAUCUUGCAAACUGACUUCUGACUUAAAAGGUCUUUUUGACCUUUUGUUGAAACCCUUUAAGGUUUGUUCAUUAGAUUGUCCCUUUCUUCGUGUGACUCUAUGGCAGCUGCAUUUAUCUGAGUUGUCUGAGCUGCAAGGUGGCUUCUUGGUUUAAAAAUGUCAACAAGGCAGCUGCUAGUAAUGUAUUUUGACUGUGGUGCUCACCUUCAGAUUUCUAUUUGCUAAAGCCCAGACCGGAUUGCCACACAUUGUAUUUACAGUCUGGGAUAUAAAAAUGGCUCCAUAUUAUCUUUGCAACACUGAGCCAAAACACGUGUUAAAAUGCAGUCAAGCUAUGUUGCUUCUCCAGAUACAACUUACCCAAAUCUUUCCAGGCAAAGAUGCAAAGCAUUUUUUUUUUCUGUUACACAAGUUAUUUGGUUUUUAAUUUGUCCUCAUUUAUAUAACCAAAACACGUUUUCCAAAAUGUAAGAGCAAUGGUGGCUCAUUUCACUGUCAGACAUCACAGUGCUGUUACAGCUGACAAAUUUCAUAAUUAACCGUACCAAGACAAAAGUAGGUCUCUGUGCCUUAGGCUCAAGCUUUUUAUAUCGUGAAGCAUGAACUGCAUAAACGACAUCUCGUUACUGAUGUACACUUCAGCCUUAUUACAGAAUGCUUUUACGGAGCUCUCCUGGGAGGGUGAAAAUGGAGUUCUAAACGCAGGAUAUGCUCACUUUCACAAAAGAGACAGAAAGAAAAAUCAAACCCAGGAAAUUAAAUGUGCGUGCAGAGUGUUGAAAUUCAUAAUCCAAUUACUUGUAAAAGCCCAGCAGAAUACAUAAGAAAAUCUAAAUAUACAAAAUGAAAGAGCUUAAAUACGCUAUUUUACCUAAAGUAUUCUGAUUACUACUGUUCUGCACAUCUGUUCUGCAAUGCCAUUUUUAGAAAUAGCAGCAAGAGGUUUCCAUAUACUAUUGCAUAUCUAACUAAAGAGGAGAUUUAAAAAUAGAACAUGUAGUAGGGAUGAUAACAGAAGCAAUGUGUCAUAUGCCAUGUGUUACAGUUCCCUGUUUUCCAUGGUUAAUACCUUAAAAAUAUCCUCUGUGAUGACAUUUCCUAGAGUAGAAUCUGAAAAUGAAGUCUUCCGUGUUUUAGAGAGAGAGACAGAAAUCACAUUCAUAGAUUCUGGGUGCAAGGAAACAAAAACUAGAGUGUGUACAAAUAGAAAAAUGCUGAUUCCCACUAUAUUAAAAAUAUAUUUUCCUGAAAGUAUUUAAAAUAAAUUUCUAUGUCUGAAAUGACUGAUGGUUCAAAUACAGACCCAGAAUAUGAAAUGACAUUCACAGUGACAAACCGGCUCAGCCAUAUGGGAGCUGAAGAAUACUACAAGAAGUUUGGGCAUUGCUAAGGUGGGAUGUAAUCAACAUGUGUAAGCAGCUAACUUUGCCACAAAACCCAAUGACUCGUUAUAUACAUCACAGAGGCCUCAAGAGUAAACAACACAUCUAAUCUCUUUUCCUAAAACUUAUACUAGAUGGAUACAUGGAAGCUUUUAAGUUAGAAGGAAGUUACUCUAAUGGGGAAGUGUUGUUUUAACCUAAUGAAUCAUUUGGAUCAAUUUAUGCCUUUACAAUAAUGUAGAUAACAGAAAUAAACUCAGUUAUGCUUGACAUAGUUAAGAAAAUCAGGAAACCAUUUAUUUUAUGUUUUUGGAAAAAAGUAAGCUGUGUGAAUCUCAACAAGACUGUUACUACAGUAUCAAAUUUAACUUCUUAUCAGAUUAAUCUGCACAUGUUUAAACAGUUGGACAUGGUAAAUGCAAAACCAGAGGCAACACUUUAAAGGAUAUAUGUUAGUAAAAAGAAAAAAAUCAUGUUAUUUCGGUAUCAAAACUAAUUAGAUAUCAUUCUACAUUAUGGGGGGUGGAGGAGGGAAACAUUAUUCCUGCAUUUAUUAGAGUGCCUUAUAAGUAGUGGAGACCAACAAGGUGUAUUGACUAGAUUUACAGUGUCUCAGAAGUAUUUGGACUGUGCUCCUACUUACUUACUCCAGUCUUCUUUUUUUUUUUUUUUUUUUUUCUCUGAAUAUGUUAACAAAGUUCUUUGCUAAGAAAAUUAUAUAAAAUACUUCUUUUUCCUUGAUGCAGAUAUCCUAGAGACUAUGGCAAACAUGAGGAAAAAACAACUGGUAAAUGUUUAAUUGCUACUGUUCUUUGAAGCCAAAGUACAACAUUCCUGGGUGCACAGAUUGUUGGCUAAUGUGAACCAGGAUGACUUCAGACACGCUGGUUAAGUAACAAGAACUUUGUUUCUUCUUUUGGUUUUAGUAAUGCUCUGUCCUAAGGGCACUGGAGAAUAUCUUUACCUAACUUAAUGGAAAGGCCUGGUGACAAUCUGCUCUCUCAGCUGUAUGUUCUACCCUGUGGAUAGUUUGUGAUUUCAACUAUUGGGAAGAUUGUAUCUCCUGUGAGGAACUAUAAUUUUCUUCCAUGGUGUAGCUACAGUGUGAUGUGGGAAAGCAGACUGUUCUACAUCCUUGCCUGGACAUGUGGUUUAAGCAUAGCCCUUUAAAGACCUCCAGUGUAUCAAGGAGGACAGCAUGGUGCUUACCAGACACCAUACCGCUGGACAGAAGUGGUAAACUAGACCCUGUGAGAGCAGAGCGCUACUGGAAGUGAACAGGGUGACUUGCAGCCAAAGGGACUUGCAGCAAUAGCCAAAUGACCUGGGGUCUUAGUGAGUCCAAGAUCAAUGCCAGGAAUCUGCCAUACACGAAUCACUGCCAACUGGAUGAAGAAACCAGCAGUAGCAGUUAACUUUGUAUCAACUCAACCUACAAUGUAUUCAUUUUGGAAAAGCAACAUGAGCUUGUGCAACACUGUGUCCAGAAGUAUCUCAUAAACCCCAGAAAGACCUCAAACACCUCUGUAUAAAGCUGGAGCCACAACACAAGUUAAUAAGAAUAAUAUAAGUUUUAGCAAACCAACUGGAAUAAUUAAUGUUGGAUGUGCUUCUUCAAGUUUGCUCUUCAACCAAAGAAAAUCCUGAUAUCGCCGUCGAACCUCAUAUUCACAGGAGUCAAAUUCACCACGAGAUGUCUGAAAACAAUGAACAGAAAACACAGGUCCAGGAAGUUAGAAGAGCAAGUAAAAAGCACAAUAUCAUUUCAUAUUUUGAAUAAAACUGCAUACAUGAUUCUAGUUUGCCUGUGCUAUUUGCUGGCAGUUUUUAAAGAGCAAAUGAUCAACUGCUUUAGGAGACAUAGCAUUUUCAAGAAAUCAAAGUUCUACAUCAAUUAAAAAUAAAAUAAAUAAAAACAAACAACACAACAGAUUGACUUUAAAUAAUCAGCCUGACAGUGUUUCCAAAAGAUUCCAACCAUCACUUUAAUGUGGUGUUUCCCUUUUAACAAUCAUAGUUACCUUCACUACAUUUAGGGCACUUCUGAAGGGUUUAAAAAUCAAAGAGUGAAGAAAGCCCAUUUUUUAGCAUUUUGGAAAAUAUAGAUGGAGCUGACAAAUGUCCUUGAGGCCUGCUGACACCAUCCAACAAUCCCUGCUUUCAACGCAUGAAAACUUCAGCAUAUCAUAGCACAUGGCCCAUGCUGUUUAAUGGAUUCUACAGUCCAUCAAUCCCAGGUUUGCAGCUCUUUGUCAGAGCUUGCCAAUAAAUCUUUAAUACUUAGAAAAAAAUGCUUAUUGCAGCAUUGCAAAAUCAUCAAACUGCGAGAUUUUAUCCUUGCUUCAUCUUCUGGAAUCAAGCUACAAAGAGCCCCAGUGUUCAGCAAAGUGAUGCAGCUGUUUAGCAUUCAUUGUUGCACAGAGAUUUACAGUGUGAUGCAAACACAUGGCAAAAGAAGUCACACUCUUGUAACCUAAACAUUUUUGAGGACUCGAUAAACUUUUUUCCAGGUAUGUGGGAGGAAUGCUUUUACUUUAUCAUCAACAGCCAGCACUUCAAAUUAAAUAUGAUAAGAUAAAGAAGCAAAAGCAAUCCACCUCACAGCCCUCCCAUAUUUGCCUGCAGAAAAAGAUGUUCAGUCAUCUACAAAAAGAUGCAUGAAGUGAAAAUUAUUGCUCGCAACCUAAUGAAGAUAGUUCUCUUCCUACUCUUUAAAUAUUUUAUGAGGAAUUGAUAAUUUCUCUAUUUAAAGAUGAAUAAUUCCCACUUGAAAAUUUGGUUUAAAAUGUAUCUUUUAGAAAGAACUCAAAGUCAAAUAAAUGAACACAGUAAUUCUCAAACCACAGCCUGCAGAAUAUUUGCUGGUAAUCCCAAAAGAGCUGGCUCACAGAGCUGUCUUUCUUCCCUAUUUCCAGUAAACAAUUUGCAUUCAGGACAGCUAAAAAUGCACUAUGUUGUUUGCUAAUAUUACUUUUUCACUUGAGAAUUGUGGCAGUUGCCCCAGAAAUCAUAUGCAACUGCAAGUGGAAACAAACUUCCAGGUUACAACAGGCACUACAGUUCCUGAAGAAUGGAGCUGAAAGACUUUGCAGCAGAAUCAACCACACAGUUACGUGUGGUUACAGUGGUCCAUAACUCAUAGCAGAAUCAGAGCACAGUUGCAGUUGGGUGGUACCCCAGAGAAUGGUUCACCAGAAGGCUGAAAAAGCUAUCGCUGUUACUGCCGUGAGCCAUGAGGUUUACCCUGAUCCUCAUCUAAUAGAUGCUUACCUU